CAUGCGAGUCGAGAGGGUUCGGCCCUCGGCAGACUGCUCAGUAACACGUGGAUAAUCUGCCCUUAGGUGGAGGAUAACCUCGGGAAACUGAGAAUAAUACUCCAUAGAUCUAGAAGGCUGGAAUGCAUUUAGAUCAAAAGCUCCGGCGCCUAAGGAUGAGUCUGCGGACUAUCAGGUUGUAGUCAGGGUAAUGACCUGACUAGCCUACAACGGAUACGGGUUGUGAGAGCAAUAACCCGGAGACGAUAUCUGAGACACGAUAUCGGGCCCUACGGGGCGCAGCAGGCGCGAAACCUUCACACUGUGCGAAAGCGCGAUGAGGGAAUCCCAAGUGCUUGCACGUAAGUGUAAGCUGUUUCCCUGUUUAAAACGCAGGGGGAGGAAGGGCUGGGUAAGACGGGUGCCAGCCGCCGCGGUAAUACCUGCAGCUCAAGUGGUGACCGCUAUUAUUGGGCCUAAAACGUCCGUAGCCGGCUGAAUAAAUGCCUGGGUAAAUCGUGUAGCUUAACUAUACGAACUCCGGGUAGACUGUUUAGCUUGAGACCGGGAGAAGCUAGAGGUACUCCUGGGGUAGAGGUGAAAUUCUGUAAUCCUGGGGGGACCACCAGUGGCGAAGGCGUCUAGCUAGAACGGGUCUGACGGUGAGGGACGAAACCCUGGGGCGCAAACCGGAUUAGAUACCCGGGUAGUCCAGGGCGCAAACGCUGCUUGCUUGAUGUUAGCUGGGCUCCGAGCUCGGCUAGUGUCGGAGAGAAGUUGUUAAGCAAGCUGCCUGGGAAGUACGAUCGCAAGAUUGAAACUUAAAGGAAUUGGCGGGGGAGCACAGCAACGGGUGGAGCGUGCGGUUUAAUUGGCUUCAACGCCGGAA
rnacentral:rRNA from 1 species